rnacentral:rRNA from 1 species
CAGCCGCCGCGGUAAUACGGAGGGUGCAAGCGUUAUCCGGAUUUACUGGGUUUAAAGGGUGUGUAGGCGGACUUUUAAGUCUGGGGUGAAAUCUCCGAGCUCAACUCGGAAACUGCCUUGGAUACUAUUAGUCUUGAAUUAUGUUGAGGUUGGCGGAAUAUAACAUGUAGCGGUGAAAUGCAUAGAUAUGUUAUAGAACACCGAUUGCGAAGGCAGCUAACUAAGCAUAUAUUGACGCUGAGGCACGAAAGCGUGGGGAUCAAACAGGAUUAGAUACCCCCGUAGUCCCUGUCUCUUAUAC